AGGGAAUAUUGCUCAAUGGGGGAAACCCUGAAGCAGCAACGCCGCGUGGAGGAUGAAGGUUUUCGGAUUGUAAACUCCUUUUCUAAGAGAAGAUUAUGACGGUAUCUUAGGAAUAAGCACCGGCUAACUCCGUGCCAGCAGCCGCGGUAAUACGGAGGGUGCAAGCGUUACUCGGAAUCACUGGGCGUAAAGAGCGCGUAGGCGGGAUAGCAAGUCAGAUGUGAAAUCCUAUGGCUUAACCAUAGAACUGCAUUUGAAACUGUUAUUCUAGAGUAUGGGAGAGGUAGGUGGAAUUCUUGGUGUAGGGGUAAAAUCCGUAGAGAUCAAGAGGAAUACUCAUUGCGAAGGCGACCUGCUGGAACAUAACUGACGCUGAUGCGCGAAAGCGUGGGGAGCAAAC
rnacentral:rRNA from 1 species